rnacentral:rRNA from 1 species
CCUACGGGUGGCAGCAGUGAGGAAUAUUGGUCAAUGGCCGGAAGGCUGAACCAGCCAUGCCGCGUGAAGGUCAGUGCCCUAUGGGUUGUAAACUUCUUUUAUAUGGGAAUAAAAUGUUCCACGUGUGGGAUUUUGUAUGUACCAUAUGAAUAAGGAUCGGCUAACGCCGUGCCAGCAGCCGCGGUAAUACGGAGGAUCCGAGCGUUAUCCGGAUUUAUUGGGUUUAAAGGGAGCGUAGGUGGAUUGUUAAGUCAGUUGUGAAAGUUUGCGGCUCAACCGUAAAAUUGCAGUUGAAACUGGCAGUCUUGAGUACAGUAGAGGUGGGCGGAAUUCGUGGUGUAGCGGUGAAAUGCUUAGAUAUCACGAAGAACUCCGAUUGCGAAGGCAGUUCACUGGACUGCAACUGACACUGAGGCUCGAAAGUGUGGGUAUCAAACAGGAUUAGAUACCCGAGUAGUC